rnacentral:ribozyme from 13 species
AUUUCAAUUCUUCUUCUUUCUCUUGCUCUUUUUCAUUUUCUUUCUCCCCUUCUCUCUCUCCCUCUCUUUCAGAAAAGAAAGAAAGAUAUCGGAGAGAAGACCAAGAAUUUGGCCUCUUUUUCUUAUCCAAUUGAAGAAGAUGAGAAAGAAA